rnacentral:rRNA from 1 species
CCUACGGGAGGCAGCAGUGGGGGAUAUUGCACAAUGGGGGAAACCCUGAUGCAGCGACGCCGCGUGGGUGAAGAAGCGCCUCGGCGCGUAAAGCCCUGUCAGCAGGGAAGAAAAUGACGGUACCUGAAGAAGAAGCCCCGGCUAACUACGUGCCAGCAGCCGUGGUAACACGUAGGCGGCAAGCGUUAUCCGGAUUUUCUGGGUGUAAAGGGGGCGUAGACGGCGGUGCAAGCCAGGAGUGAAAGGCCGGGGCCCAACCCCGGGACUGCUCGUGGAACUGCGUGGCUAGAGUUCAGGAGGGGCAGGCGGAAUGCGUGGUGUAGCGGUGAAAUGCGUAGAUAUCAGGAGGAACACCGGUGGCGAAGGCGGCCUGCUGGACUGCAACUGACGUUGAGGCCCGAAAGCGUGGGGAGCAAACAGGAUUAGAUACCCCUGUAGUC